AGCUCUUCUUCAUCCUCAACCUCGCCCGCAAAUGGCACCUCCGAUCCCAACUGUUUCAUUGCAUGGCGUGAACUCAACUCCACGGCAUCUCCAUCAUCGAUGAAGCUUUCAACCACCAUCGUCUUAUAUCUUCCCUGACCAUAGCUCGAAUUUUCACUGUGCCAUGGACCUGCGUCUUCACUAAAAUACGAUUCACUAUCGCGUCUUGCUCGAUCUUGAGCUCCGACGCCACGACAUCUCCUCAGCUUUGUUCUACAACUCCUCCACGACCGCAAGUGAGCCACAUGUCCACAACCAAGCCCUAUUUGCCACAUCGAUCCUUAAUGAUUUGGAAUUGCCAUCGAUACACUAGCGUAUCUCCAGGUUGGGCCUUGUGGUGACCAUCAAAGUAUUCCCUUUCUUUUACCAGUCUUAUAUGUCUUGGUUUCGUGGUAUCACAUUAAUUGUUCAUCUGAGUUGCCAUCUCUAAUUCUGAUAAAAAGAAUCUCAUCUUCCAUUUCUCA